rnacentral:rRNA from 1 species
UACGUAGGGGGGCUAGCGUUGUCCGGAUUUAUUGGGCGUAAAGAGCGUGUAGGCGGCCAGGUAGGUCUGCUGUGAAAAACUCGAGGCUUAACCUCGAGAUGUCGGCGGAAACCAUCUGGCUAGAGUCCGGAAGAGGAGAGUGGAAUUCCUGGUGUAGCGGUGAAAUGCGCAGAUAUCGUUUGGAACGCCAACGGAGAAAUCAGCUCGCUGGGGGAUGUCCUGACGCUGAGACGCGAAAGCC